rnacentral:tRNA from 1 species
GGAGACGUGGCAGAGCGGCGAAUGCGGCGCCUUGCUAAGGCGUAGUCGACCCAGGUCGACCAAGGGUUCGAGUCCCUUCGCCUCCGCC